rnacentral:lncRNA from 1 species
AUUGUCCAAUAUGCACAGCCCUUUGAUCCAAUGAAGCACGUGUGCGCAUGCGUCGUGUCCCUGUUAAACGGCGAAUAGGGCCCUGAGCAGACCGUGCCUUUAGUCCGGGGAAGCUCCGGGUUUAGGUGGGUCUCUCGGUUGGGCUUUCCCCCACCAAGGACCCCUUUUUCCCCUGCAGAAGCCACGUUUGCAGCACCACAUCCCCCGGAUGACCGUGCCCGCUGACUCACCGGAGGCUUCAUAACUCGGGAGGCUCUGUCCAUUUCUCACAUCCACAAGUCCAUCUUCUCUUGGCUCAAAGCUCUCCCUUGGGUACACUGUAUCAGGAAUGGGAUAAGAUCUGCGGUUAAUACUGUGAUCAGGAAGCUGCAAAUGGAACUGGAGCAGAGAAAAAGAGGAAAGAAGAAGUGUUAACUAGGGGGUCCUGUUAAAAGGGGGAAACUGCCUCCAGAAGCCUGGCUCAGCUCCAGGCAAGAGAGAAACAGACUGGGGGAGCUGGCAGAUCAGGGAAGUUACAGUCACUGAGUCAUUCUGGUGAAGUUUGGCCUGGUUCUGUGAAACUGAGCCACCGGCCUCCAACUCUGGGAUCAGUAGCCCCAGGCCCUUGUCUUUGCAGAGUUCUUAGUGGUUGGCAGCAUCCUGGAACAUCCAAGGAAGGAUACGCUCUAGAGUGGGGCUAGCAGCUGCCAAGGCUUCUAAAAAGACCUCAAAAUCCACCAGCCUCAUGGCAAAGAAGAACAAGUCCCAACUUUUCUUGCUUCAGAGCCCUGGAGGAGCUAUUUGAACUGCUGUCCAGACCCCCAGCUGUGCACAGCCAUUCCAGGACCAAGUGGAUGCCAAGGUGCCUGACAGAGCUGAGUUGUGCUGGAAACACAAAACCGUCCAACCAUUCACUGAGAAAUUCUACCCAGGACCCAGGGAACCAGGUUUUCUUCCAGCUCUUCUGCAAAACAAAGAAGUAAAUAAAUGUGUCUUCAUUAUUAAAUUUUAUUGUAUGAACCCCAAAUAGGCUUAAGAGAGGCCCCUUUGAUUGGUGGGUCCUGUCAAAACCCAAACUCUGCAUCCUGAAUAAAACAAAGCCGAAGGAUGAGUUCAUUGUAAGCCUUUUGACCUGCAAGCCAGGGAACUCAAGGCUAUGGGAGCAAUGAGUUCUAAGUUGCUCACAGAUUAAGGGAUUUUU